UUCUACAACCACAGUACCCCGAAUGUGCCCAAUCUCGCCUGAUCUCAGAAGCUAAGCAGAGUUGGGCCUGGGAUGGGAGAAU
rnacentral:rRNA from 1 species